AACGAACGCUGGCGGCAGGCCUAACACAUGCAAGUCGAGCGAACCCUUCGGGGUUAGCGGCGGACGGGUGAGUAACGCGUGGGAAUAUGCCCUUUGCUACGGAAUAGCCCCGGGAAACUGGGAGUAAUACCGUAUGUGCCCUUUGGGGGAAAGAUUUAUCGGCAAAGGAUUAGCCCGCGUUGGAUUAGGUAGUUGGUGGGGUAAUGGCCUACCAAGCCUUCGAUCCAUAGCUGGCUUGAGAGGAUGAUCAGCCACACUGGGACUGAGACACGGCCCAGACUCCUACGGGAGGCAGCAGUGGGGAAUCUUAGACAAUGGGGGCAACCCUGAUCUAGCCAUGCCGCGUGAUCGAUGAAGGCCUUAGGGUUGUAAAGAUCUUUCAGCUGGGAAGAUAAUGACGGUACCAGCAGAAGAAGCCCCGGCUAACUCCGUGCCAGCAGCCGCGGUAAAAC
rnacentral:rRNA from 1 species